ACACAGGAAAAAACAGGGAUAUGGUGAACCAGCAAAUCAUCCUAUGAAAAUACCUUUCCACAUAUAGCCCAAAGUCAUUGACCAUGGAUGGAACUACUUCCCCUUCUUGGCGAAAACGAUUUGCAACUUGCAGAUACAGUGGCCACAUUGCCCUGCCAAAAGAGGAAGAAAUAUAAUUAAACAAUGACAGUAGCAGAUGGAAAGCCGGCCUAAACAAACAAGUAACAUCAGGCACCUCUUCUUAGGAUAAUUGACAUCCUCAUUGUGGAGGCCCAUCAAACCAGAGGCUGCAAAAAUACUAUGUUUCGGCUGGUGUUCUCCAGCACAUACAUUUUACUGAUGAAAAAUAUAAAAGGCCAACACAAACAGUUAAAAGUGGAGCAACGAACCACCUUGUUACUGAAUAGCAUAAUGGGUUUAGUAUAGGAAAAGAAGAAUAAACAGAAGAUUUACAACAGAAAAGAAAGUGAUGCGCCUUUUUGAAUGUGAUAAAACCCACAUAAUCAAAUGAACCAAAUAAUUCCUUAUGGAUAAAUAAAAAGAGCCAAAAAACCUUUGAUAGCCAACUCACAAGCAUCGAACACAAAUGUAAGGAAUGGACGGGAGACUUAUGGUUCCAUAAAAAGGUCAGAGCAAUUGUUUAGGUAAGAAAAAUUGAAGACUGUGUAUCAUCUCCUAACAAUAUUCAGGUCACUAUAUCAUAGAAAUUAGAAAGCGCAAAACAUUUAAAAAGAUAGGCACUUGAUGCAUUCCAUUGGUUGGCCAAAAGAAUUGCAGUCUAGAGUCUAGCAAUGCACGAAAGGUAACUGUGUGUGCAUCAAUUCAUAACACACUCGGAAAAAGAGAGUAACUAAAAUUCCAGAAGUGAAUAUUUAAUUAGUUCUUAUAGUGGAAAGAUGCACAAAAUAAGGAAAGUUCCCUAUUACAAACUAUGUAGUAUAUCAAAAAGCAUCCAAUAAAAUCAUGUUAUGAACAAGCAUAUCAAUCAGCAAUGGUCUCUGGUAGAUGAUUGAAAAUCUGCAUUGCAUAAAAACAAUGAAAUAGGGGAGGAUUUUUCUUUGUAAAAAGUAAGCAGCAUUACCCAUGUCACAAAAUAUUGUUCCCCUGCAUUCUUCAUACAAGCAUCCUAGUAAGUUCACAUAAUCGAUCAAAUUUGUGUGUCAUAAAACACGUGAUUGGCACGGAACCGGAGUUCCGUCCGGGUUCCGUCUAUUUCAAUUUUUUUAACCGUUGAUUAAAUCAGUGAUAAUCUUGGUGUAAUCUUUAUAAUACUUUAACAAUUCUGAGCGUAUGUUGGAGCGGUCAAAAUUAAUCGUGGCCAUCAUCAGUUCAUCAAAAUAGAAAAAAGAGACGCUGGUAAAAAUAGGUCAUCGACCAUCCUUGUAUCCUCUCGCCGUGGCCUUCCUCCUAUGAGCGCCAGCGCCGCCACCGCCGCCGCCUAGUCCAUCCUUGUAUCCCAGGUCAGCCCCUACCUGACGAGCGCCGCCCCCUUCUCAUCACCGAGAUCCCGUCUGCCGCACAGCUAGGUCUAACAAUGUCCCCUCCUCAUCAGCGUGAUCCCCGACCAAGCUCGCCCGGAUGGCCACGCCUCCCAGGACGUCACUCCACGACCUCCGCUCAAUCCUCUCCAUCUUUGUUCGCCGUGCGUCAAGUCUCCUGAUUCCCCACCGCGAUUGCUCCCCAGCGCCCUCUUCCCCGUCUGCACUGCUCCGCCACCGCGGGGCCGCGGGGGACGUCCGCUCGUCUUCCAGCUCGUCCCAGAGCUCUACGCCGCCUCAGGGGCCUGCUUCCUCGACCUCUAGGCCCCUGCACCUCAGCGUCUGUGAACCUCCUCUAUCGUCACCAAUCGGAAGCAGCUCCGCCCGUGUUGGUCUUGCCGCACGUGGUCAACCGAGCCGCUGCAGCCAAGCCACAAUUUCAGUCCUCUGAAUCAAUCUAACAACGAAUUAUUUCAGUAUCAGCUGCAGCAAUAUACAGAGAUCCCCUUUUCAAGAUGAAGGUUAAUGUUCCAUGGAUGGAUGGAUACCCUUCGGUCCCAGUGGUGGUCAACGUUUGAUGGUGCCUUGGACGGGCCCCUCUGACUCCAACCGGCAGUUGCAGCUCCUCUUCAGCACAGCAGGGGCGCUCCCGCGCUAUCAUGAUCAAAACUAAUACAGGAAAAGAGAAGCGUGCGCUGCGUCAAACUUGUGUAGGGACAGAAGAAGUAUUUCUCUUUCACAUCUAGUAUUGCAAUCCUGGCUUGUGAUUUAUAAUGCAACAUUUAGAAAUGGAGCCAUGUCCCUGAUUCUACGGUAUGCAAAUUCAGAGAAGAUAAAUGUGGUCCAUAAUUGUUGAUUCUUGUUCUCCUAGAAAGCAUUCAUUUCGAUGUCUGCUUUCUAAAACAUCAGAGGUAGACCCUGGACGUUU